rnacentral:rRNA from 1 species
CUACGGGAGGCACCAGUGGGGAAUAUUGCACAAUGGGCGCAAGCCUGAUGCAGCAACGCCGCGUGAGGGAUGAAGGCCUUCGGGUUGUAAACCUCUUUUAGCAGGGAAGAAGCGAAAGUGACGGUACCUGCAGAAAAAGCACCGGCUAACUACGUGCCAGCAGCCGCGGUAAUACGUAGGGUGCAAGCGUUGUCCGGAAUUAUUGGGCGUAAAGAGCUCGUAGGCGGUUUGUCACGUCUGCUGUGAAAAUCCAAGGCUCAACCUUGGACUUGCAGUGGGUACGGGCAGGCUAGAGUGCGGUAGGGGAGAUGGGAAUUCCUGGUGUAGCGGUGGAAUGCGCAGAUAUCAGGAGGAACACCAAUGGCGAAGGCACAUCUCUGGGCCGUAACUGACGCUGAGGAGCGAAAGCGUGGGGAGCGAACAGGAUUAGAUACCCCUGUAGUC